rnacentral:tRNA from 1 species
UGAGGUGUAGCUCAGUGACAGCAUGCGCGCCUGGCAUGCGCAAGGCCCUGGGUUCGAUCCCUAGCACCACCA